rnacentral:rRNA from 1 species
UACGGAGGUGGCAAGCGUUACUCGGAAUUAUUGGGUGUAAAGGGCAAGUAGGCGGUCUAAUAAGUGGGGGGUGAAAUACUCCGGCUCAAUCGGAGAACAGCCUUCCAAACUGCUAGACUUGAGUAUGACAGAGGAAAAUGGAAUUCUAGGUGUAAGGGUGAAAUCUGUAGAUAUCUAGAAGAACACCAGCUGCGAAGGCGAUUUUCUGGGUCAUUACUGACGCUAAAUUGCGAAAGCUAGGGGAG